rnacentral:rRNA from 1 species
AACGAACGCUGGCGGCAUGCCUAAUACAUGCAAGUCGAACGAUCACUUCGGUGGUAGUGGCGCACGGGUGCGUGACGCGUGGGAAUCUACCCUUGGGUUCGGAAUAACAGUUAGAAAUGACUGCUAAUACCGGAUGAUGACGAAAGUCCAAAGAUUUAUCGCCCAAGGAUGAGCCCGCGUAGGAUUAGCUAGUUGGUGAGGUAAAAGCUCACCAAGGCGACGAUCCUUAGCUGGUCUGAGAGGAUGAUCAGCCACACUGGGACUGAGACACGGCCCAGACUCCUACGGGAGGCAGCAGUAGGGAAUAUUGGACAAUGGGGGCAACCCUGAUCCAGCAAUGCCGCGUGAGUGAUGAAGGCCUUAGGGUUGUAAAGCUCUUUUACCCGAGAUGAUAAUGACAGUAUCGGGAGAAUAAGCUCCGGCUAACUCCGUGCCAGCCGCCGCAGUAA